UACGUAGGGGGCGAGCGUUGUCCGGAGUUACUGGGCGUAAAGCGCACGCAGGCGGUCUGCUAAGUUUGGAGUGACAGUUGGUGGCUUAACUGCCAAAGUGCUUCGAAAACUGACAGACUUGAGGGCUUCAGAGGGACACGGAAUUCCGGGUGGAGUGGUGAAAUGCGUAGAGAUCCGGAGGAACACCAAAGGCGAAGGGAGUGUCCUGGGGAGUACCUGACGCUCAGGUGCGAAAGCCAGGGGAGCGAACGGG
rnacentral:rRNA from 1 species